GGUCUUAUAGUGUAGUGGUUAUCACACGGGAUUUUGAUCUUCCCUUCCCGCGACUCAGGUUCGAACCCUGAUAAGACCU